AUUGAACGCUGGCGGCAGGCCUAACACAUGCAAGUCGAGCGGAUGAAGGGAGCUUGCUCCUGGAUUCAGCGGCGGACGGGUGAGUAAUGCCUAGGAAUCUGCCUGGUAGUGGGGGAUAACGUCCGGAAACGGGCGCUAAUACCGCAUACGUCCUGAGGGAGAAAGUGGGGGAUCUUCGGACCUCACGCUAUCAGACGAGCCUAGGUCGGAUUAGCUAGUUGGUGGGGUAAAGGCCUACCAAGGCGACGAUCCGUAACUGGUAUGAGAGGAUGAACAGUCAGCGUGGAAUUGAGACCCCGUCCACACUCCCUCAGGAGGCCGCAGUGUGGAAUCUUGGACACUGGGCGAAUGCCUGUUCCAGCCCUCCCGCGCGAGUGAUGAACGUCCUCGGAUUGUAGAGCGCUUUACAUCGGGAGGGAGGGCGGUAUGAUACUCCCUUGCUGUUUUGACGUUACCAACAGAAUAAGCACCGGCUAACUUCGUG
rnacentral:rRNA from 1 species